rnacentral:rRNA from 1 species
UGGGGAAUUUUGGACAAUGGGGGAAACCCUGAUCCAGCCAUCCCGCGUGUGCGAUGAAGGCCUUCGGUUUGUAAAGCACUUUUGGCCGGAAAGAAACGUCAUGGGUUAAUACCCCGUGAAACUGACGGUACCUGCAGAAUAAGCACCGGCUAACUACGUGCCAGCAGCCGCGGUAAUACGUAGGGUGCAAGCGUUAAUCGGAAUUACUGGGCGUAAAGCGUGCGCAGGCGGUUCGGAAAGAAAGAUGUGAAAUCCCAGAGCUCAACUUUGGAACUGCAUUUUUAACUACCGGGCUAGAGUGUGUCAGAGGGAGGUGGAAUUCCGCGUGUAGCAGUGAAAUGCGUAGAUAUGCGGAGGAACACCGAUGGCGAAGGCAGCCUCCUGGGAUAACACUGACGCUCAUGCACGAAAGCGUAGGGAGCAAACAGG